rnacentral:rRNA from 1 species
CAUGUAGGCGGCCGUGUAAGCAUCUUGUGAAAUCCCCCGGCUCAACCGGGGAACUGCUGGGUGAACUGCACGGCUUGAGGCAGGUAGGGGUGCGUGGAACUCUUGGUGGAGCGGUGAAAUGCGUAGAUAUCAAGAGGAACGCCGGAGGCGAAAGCGGCGCACUGGGCCUGUCCUGACGCUGAGAUGCGAAGGCUAGGGUAGCUAACAGGAUUAGAUACCCUGGUAGUCC